ACUGUAAGUCAUUUACUUUUUAUUCAGCUUUACACUAAGGAAGUAUCUAGGAGCUGGAAACUAGUGGGAACGGAUGCAAGCGGCCCUCUGAAAAUCAAGGAGCCAUCUGCAAAUAUUAUCCUUUUAGAUUAUAUCUCGUCAGGAAAAUGGAAGGAUAUCGUAGAUUUCGAUGACCACCUGGAUGACAUUAGCAAGGACUGGCUGAAUCCAGAGCUCUUCAAGUGAAGAUUCUGUGAAGCACGGAAACUAUCGUGUGGUUACCAUGUGAUAUUCGGUAUUUAUCCCUCCAGUGUAGUUGCUGAGUUUCUGAUGAAAAGAAUCUAAUGGCUCUGAUUUUGCAGAUUGGUAGUGACUUUGGAGUAUUAUAGAAGAUAGCAUCAUAUCCUCGCAAAAGUACGCAUUUCUAAUAGGUCAAACAUAAUUCUUGAGCAAGACAACUUGAUUUUGUAUUGAAUGGAACCCGAAUAGUUUAUUUGGAACCUUAAAUCUUUAACUUGCCUGUUUCAUGGGUGUUUGUUUCUAGUUA